rnacentral:rRNA from 1 species
ACGGUCGAGGCGUAGCACAGAGAGCUUGCUCUCGGGUGACGAGCGGCGGACGGGUGAGUAAUGUCUGGGAAACUGCCUGAUGGAGGGGGAUAACUACUGGAAACGGUAGCUAAUACCGCAUAACGUCGCAAGACCAAAGUGGGGGACCUUCGGGCCUCAUGCCAUCAGAUGUGCCCAGAUGGGAUUAGCUAGUAGGUGGGGUAAUGGCUCACCUAGGCGACGAUCCCUAGCUGGUCUGAGAGGAUGACCAGCCACACUGGAACUGAGACACGGUCCAGACUCCUACGGGAGGCAGCAGUGGGGAAUAUUGCACAAUGGGCGCAAGCCUGAUGCAGCCAUGCCGCGUGUAUGAAGAAGGCCUUCGGGUUGUAAAGUACUUUCAGCGAGGAGGAAGGCAUUAAGGUUAAUAACCUUGGUGAUUGACGUUACUCGCAGAAGAAGCACCGGCUAACUCCGUGCCAGCAGCCGCGGUAAUACGGAGGGUGCAAGCGUUAAUCGGAAUUACUGGGCGUAAAGCGCACGCAGGCGGUCUGUCAAGUCGGAUGUGAAAUCCCCGGGCUCAACCUGGGAACUGCAUUCGAAACUGGCAGGCUAGAGUCUUGUAGAGGGGGGUAGAAUUCCAGGUGUAGCGGUGAAAUGCGUAGAGAUCUGGAGGAAUACCGGUGGCGAAGGCGGCCCCCUGGACAAAGACUGACGCUCAGGUGCGAAAGCGUGGGGAGCAAACAGGAUUAGAUACCCUGGUAGUCCACGCCGUAAACGAUGUCGACUUGGAGGUUGUGCCCUUGAGGCGUGGCUUCCGGAGCUAACGCGUUAAGUCGACCGCCUGGGGAGUACGGCCGCAAGGUUAAAACUCAAAUGAAUUGACGGGGGCCCGCACAAGCGGUGGAGCAUGUGGUUUAAUUCGAUGCAACGCGAAGAACCUUACCUACUCUUGACAUCCAGAGAACUUAGCAGAGAUGCUUUGGUGCCUUCGGGAACUCUGAGACAGGUGCUGCAUGGCUGUCGUCAGCUCGUGUUGUGAAAUGUUGGGUUAAGUCCCGCAACGAGCGCAACCCUUAUCCUUUGUUGCCAGCGGUCCGGCCGGGAACUCAAAGGAGACUGCCAGUGAUAAACUGGAGGAAGGUGGGGAUGACGUCAAGUCAUCAUGGCCCUUACGAGUAGGGCUACACACGUGCUACAAUGGCAUAUACAAAGAGAAGCGACCUCGCGAGAGCAAGCGGACCUCAUAAAGUAUGUCGUAGUCCGGAUUGGAGUCUGCAACUCGACUCCAUGAAGUCGGAAUCGCUAGUAAUCGUAGAUCAGAAUGCUACGGUGAAUACGUUCCCGGGCCUUGUACACACCGCCCGUCACACCAUGGGAGUGGGUUGCAAAAGAAGUAGGUAGCUUAAGCAUCGCC